rnacentral:rRNA from 1 species
GCAUAUCAAUAAGCGGAGGAAAAGAAACUAACAAGGAUUCCCCUAGUAACGGCGAGUGAAGAGGGAAAAGCUCAAAUUUUAAAUCUACCUGGUUCCCAGGUCGAAUUGUAAUUUGAAGAAGCGAUAUCGGUGUUGAGGUCUGGUUUAAGUUCUUUGGAACAAGAUAUCAUGGAGGGUGAGAAUCCCGUGCAUGAUCAGGCCAAGAUGCACUUAAUAUUCGUUUUCUAAGAGUCGAGUUGUUUGGGAAUGCAGCUCAAAAUGGGUGGUAGACUUCACCUAAGGCUAAAUAUCAGCGAGAGACCGAUAGCGAACAAGUACUGUGAAGGAAAGAUGAAAAGAACUUUGAAAAGAGAGUUAAAUAGUACGUGAAAUUGUUGAAAGGGAAACGAUUGAAGUCAGUCAUGCCAGUGAAAAUUCAGUUUGGCGGGUUUUUGGUCUUUUGAUAGAGGCAGCGUUUCUUUUUUUGGACCAGGGAUCUGUCAGAUGCACUUUUUCUUUGACAGGUCAGCGUCGAUUUCGGGGGUUGUAAAAUACUUGGGGAAAAGUAGCUCUGCUUCGGGAGAGUGUUAUAGACCUUGGGGGAUGCAGCCCGCGGGAUCGAGGAUUGCAGCAAAUGCCUUUGGCUUGUCGCCUGAUCUCUGGAUGUUACCUCGCUUGUAACAACAUUCUUGUUGCCGGUGAGUACUAAUGCCUAUCAGGUUAGAGCGAUCAAAAAUUUGCUAAGGAUGCUGACGUAAUGGCUUUAAACGAC